UUUUUUGCUCUCUUUUUUUUCUUUUUUUUUUAUUUUCUUUUGAAUUUUUUUUAUUUUUUUUAUUUUGGCAAAGGAUCAACUUUAUCCCAUCUAGAAAGAUAAUAUAUUGUAAUAAAAGCAAAGCUAUUCCCCCCGGGGCAAGAAUGUAUAUAUGGCUCCAAAAUAAAGGAUUGUUGAUUGCCUCCAUUCCAUUCGUUCCCCACAUGACGAAUAGUUAGGGCGCACUCGUAGGGUGCAAAGGUUUUGGGAUUAAUUAUAUUGUGGUGCCUUUAUCGAAUUAGAAGAUAAAGGACCAUGAUUGUUUGUGUAAGUCGUCUUGCCCCCUGACGACUUAAGCAGCAAGCCAGUGAUCAGAACAUUCUCCGUGAUGUUACCAAAUCGAAAGGAGAAUGAACUGAUAUCUUCAGAAGGAUGGAGGACUGACUGUCCUUGAUGAAUAACCAAGAUAUGACAUCGGGAGGGAGGAGACCACAAUCGUCAGUAAGAAUCGUCCUCCCCCCUAAUGACUUGAGCGGCAGAUCAGAAUUCCUUUCGCUUUGAUCUCAAUCGAGGUAGAGAAUGUGGUGUUGUUGGAAGCCAUUGCUCCUCUUGGCAACGAAUAACCAAGAUAUGAUGUUGAGAGGGAGAAGACCACGAUUGUCAGCCAGAAUAAUCUUGCCCCCUGAUGACUUAAGCGGCAGAUCAGGACAUGGCGGUAGCUAGAACGUCCUCUGUGGUGAUGCCAUAUUGGAGGAAAAUUGAAAUUUCUCGCUUUGAUCUCCACCGAGAGAGAGAAUGUGGUAUUGAUUGAAGCCAUUGCUCCUCUUGGCAACGAAUAGCCAAGAUAUGAUAUUGAGAGGGAGAAGACCACUAUUGUCUGUCAGAAUAAUCUUGCCCCCUGAUGACUUAAGCGGCAGAUCAGGAUAUGGUGGUAGCCAGAACGUCCUCUGUGGUGAUGCCAUAUUGGAGGAAAAUCAAAAUUUCUCGCUUUGAUCUCCACUGAGGUAGAGAAUGUGGUAUUGAUUGAAGCCAUUGCUCCUCUUGGCAACGAAUAGCCAAGAUAUGAUGUUCAGAGGGAGAAGACGACGAUUGUCAGCAAGAAUCGUCCUGCCCCCUGAUGAUUUGACCGGCAGAGCAAUACAUGACGGUAGACAUAACGUCCUUUGUGGUGAUGCCAUAUUGGAGGAUAACCGACAUGCUUCUUUCGUCUCGAUCAAGGCGAUGUUGUUCGAUUGGAUUGCUCCGCUUGGAUAAAGCCAUAUUUAUCGGUCAAAUGUUUAUACAUAAGUCUCUUAUCAGCAUUAUUGGAUUUGGUCUAAAAAAUGGAGGGUGAAGCCAUGUCCCACCGGGCGUGCCAUUUUGUCUGCCGCGAACGAAUCGGCCCAGCUGUAGGUUGUUUCUAAGGCGAGUGGUCAUUCAUGGUAGAGGUUGAGUUUACUUAAGUUUUAUUUUGAAAUCAGGAUUAUAGGUUCAUGACUUCCAACAGACUCAAGAAUCUGCUGUUAAUUACCCCACACUUUCGGUGUUAAGGAACCCUCGAUUAAGAGACCAAUUAUAAAUGCUGAUAAUAAAGGAGACAAAACAGGAAAAUAAAAUUUUAUUAAUAUGAUUUACCGUGUACAUGACUUAAGCAGGGGCAUACCUCCACUGUACAUGAAUUUUAUAAUACAUUGCGGUCGGUUUAAGUUUGCAGCUCAGUUUAAUGACAUGGCGGUCGGGUUCACCUUUGUUGUAUAUUCCAAGGUGGAGAUGUGACCAAACUCCAAGUAUAUAUAUUGAGGUAGAUCAGAUUUGAUAUUACCAGAAAGUAGAAAGUGGCUAAUUCCUGAGUGUAUGGAUCAGGAUUAACCGAGUUUAAUAUGUUUUCACUCUAGUUAUAUGUGCUAGAGUGAAGAUCUGACUAAGCCCUAAGGUAUUGCGUUAGGGUUUGUCGGAAUUGAUUCGUAUGAGCUCCAAGUAUAUGUAUUAGAGCUCGAUCUGGUAUGGAUUUCACUCUAGGUAUAUGUGCUAGAGCAAAAGGCUGACUAGACCCUAAGUAUAUGGGUUAGGACUAGUCGAGCACAGAUUGACUUUCAUUCUAGGUAUAUGUGCUAGAGCAAAAGGCUGACUAGACCCUAAGUAUAUGGGUUAGGACUAGUCGAGCAUGAUUUGACUUCCACUCUAGGUAUAUGUGCUAGAGCAAAAGACUGACUAGACCCAAAAUAUAUAGGUUAGGACUAGUCAAGUAUGGUUUGACUUCCACUCUAGGUAUAUGUGCUAGAGCAAAAGGCUAACAAGAUCCUAAGGAUAUGUGUUAGGACUAGUCGAGCAUGAUUUGACUUCCACUCUAGCUAUAUGUGCUAGAGCAAAAGGCUGACUGGACCCUAAGGAUAUGUGUUAGGGUUAGUCGGAUGAAUUCUAAGUAUAUGUGUUAGAGUUCGAAUAAACUUGAUAUCAUUUGACUGAAUUCUAAAUAUAUGGCUUAGAACUCUGUCGAUUUGGAGAUGUUUUGCCUUAGUUAUAUGUGCUAAGGCGAUCGACUUAGCCCUAAGUAUAUGUAUUAGGGGUAGUAAAUAUUUAAUUUUCACUCUAGGCAUAUGUGCUAGAGUAAAAAAUGUUCAUGAUGAACUUGGGUUUAGUUUAACGACUUUACGGUCGUUUGAUUUUGGGUUUAGUUUAACGACUGUACGGUCGUUUGUAUUUGGGUUUAGUUUAAUGACUUUUCGGUCGUUUGAUUUUGGUUUAGUUUAACGACUUUUCGGUCGUUUGAAUUUGGGCUUAGUUUAACGACUUUUCGGUCGUUUGAAUUUGGGUUUAGUUUAACGACGUUUCGGUCGUUUGGAUUUGGGUUUAGUUUAACGACUUUUCGAUCGUUUGAAUUUGGGUUUAGUUUAACGACGUUUCUGUCGUUUAGAUUUGAGAUGCUUUGGAUUUUGGGGUUUUAUUUGUGGACUUUAGGUCUUGGGAUUUAUUUGUGGACUUUGGAUUUUGGGAUUUAUUUGUGGAUUUUGGUUUUGGAAUUUAUUUGUGGACUUUGGUUUUGGGAUUUAUUUGUGGACUUUGGUUUUGGGAUUUAUUUGUGGACUUUGGGUUUUGGUUGGCUUAAACCUCUUGUAUUUGAUAUGGGAUGAACCGUUAUGUUUUGGUUCGGGACCCAUCAAGACUUGGUUUGAGUUGGGCGACCUUAAGUUUCUUUGGUCGCUUUGGAUUUGGUUUGGGUUGAACUGUUAUACUUUGGUUCGAGACCUAUGAAGACUUGGUUUGGGUUGAACCGUUAUGCUUUGGUUCGGGACCCAUCAAGACUUGGUUUGAGUUGGGCGACCUUAAGUUUCUUUGGUCGCUUUGGAUUUGGUUUGGGUUGAACUGUUAUGCUUUAGUUCGAGACCCAUCAAGACUUGGUUUGGGUUGACCCGUUAUGCUUUGGUUCGGUACCCAUCAAGACUUGGUUUGAGUUGGGCGGCCUUAAGUUC
rnacentral:lncRNA from 1 species